rnacentral:tRNA from 1 species
GAGGGUAUAGCUCAAUGGCAGAGUGCAUGCUUAGCAUGCAUCAGGUCCUGGGUUCAAUCCCCAGUGUCUCCA